rnacentral:misc_RNA from 1 species
AAGCUGCGAUACGUAAUGUGAAUUGCAGAGCUCAGUGAAUCAUCGAAUCUUUGAACGCACAUUGCGCCCCCUCGGGAUCCCGGGGGGGCACGCCUGUCCGAGCGUCGUUGCCCGCUCCAGGCCCUUUACGUGGCCUGCCCUCGAGCCAGUUGCCCCGGCGGGGGCAUGCUCGCGAUCCAGCCCACGACCGUCCCUGAAACCCCGGAGUGCAGUGGCUGCGUAUGCUCGCGGUGGUCGCAGGCGGCGACGGCAGCACACUUGGGGCCUUUUGCGGCCCCAUCGGUUGACCUCGGAUCAGGCGGGGAUACCCGCUGAACUUAAGC